AGUUAAGGAUCAAUUUAAGAGAACUAGUAUCUUUUCUUUGGGCAAAUGUCGAUGUCUUUGCCUGAUCAUCUUCAAAUAUGCUUGAAAUUUCUGCAGAUGUUGUUGUACAUAAAUUGAAUGUUGAUUCAAAGCACCGACCAGUCUAAUAAAAGAAAAAAAUUUCAUCCCAAAGAGGCAAAAAGCCAUAGAUGAAGAGAUCG
rnacentral:lncRNA from 1 species